UGGCCUGGGGGCUUCCCCCAGUUCCCGGCUCCUGCUGCACUGCGUGCACUUCCUUGUCCCCAGCGGCUCUUUCAGGGUGCAACAUCUGUUCUGCGCAGGCUGUAGGAGUCACAGUGGCCCCCAGACAAGGACACGUCAGCGUCUUUGAAGUGCCCUGGCUGGCAGAGCUCCCUGCUAUUGUGGGGCUGGGUGGCUCUCUCCUCGCAGCUCCUGGAAUGACAAGCUUGCAGGAGGCCCUGGCGGCCUUGGCAGCCGGGCCAAUGUUUAGACAGUUUCUUCUGCUGUUUGAAUAAGAGCCUCAGCGGGAUUGCAUCUCUGCUUCACCUCCUCUUCUGUGGCCGGAGGAUGGGCCGCCCAGCAUCCGGAGCUGCCUGUAAAGUUCCUCUCAGCGCCUGCAGAAGCUUUGUAGAGGUGCAGCUGACUGUGAUCAGGGGCUUUAUUUGUCUGUGGAAUCUGGGAGCCAGUGGGAGCCAGUGUGAGAAAGGCGAGGUGUACAAGCCUGCCGUCGGAAGUGUUCCAAUCCAAGUUUCUGGAAUUUCAAGCUGCAUGGCAUUAGCUCUAAAAUCCCUCAUGUGUCAAGAGAGAUUUCACACCGGAACUUGAAACUAGGAAAAGACUGGCAGCUUCUUUUCCCUUGAACUGAUUCGUGGGAGACGACUUGAGCGAAACCCAAAAAACCCAUGUUCAGACCUGAUGCUAAGGGGCUGAAUGACGCUGGACAGAACAUAAUACCUUGGGUCCUCAAUUUUGUGAUGAUGGUUAAAUGAGUGAUUCUCAAACCAGUUCUGACAUCUUGAAAAGGUGCUUCUGACUUCACAGUUACCAUGUAAUUAGAGCUUUGAAAUGACAGUGCAGUGAACUCUCCUUGAUAUUCCCCUAAGCCUCUACAUUGAAUGGUGAUGAGGAUCCUAUUUGGAAGCUUUCAAUGGUGUCUUCUCCAGGGGAAAAGGUGAAGAAUAUUUUGUAAGCGACACUGUCUUUUCAAUUUUUACCUCCUGAUUUUGAGCACGGCGAUUCUACUAAGCUGUGUUUUCUUUUCCCUGUGAAAAUGGUUUUGUGAGAAAAUGUAACCAGUGCAAUUAUACUGAACUUUCAUAAGAUGAAACGUUAAUAAAAUGAAUGUUUGACCAAUAAAAUACUUGAUGCU
rnacentral:lncRNA from 1 species